rnacentral:rRNA from 1 species
UACAGAGGUCUCAAGCGUUGUUCGGAUUCAUUGGGCGUAAAGGGUGUGUAGGUGGCGCUGUAAGUCGGGUGUGAAAUUUCGGAGCUUAACUCCGAAACUGCAUUCGAUACUGCCGUGCUUGAGGACUGGAGAGGAGACUGGAAUUUACGGUGUAGCGGUGAAAUGCGUAGAUAUCGUAAGGAAGACCAGUGGCGAAGGCGGGUCUCUGGACAGUUCCUGACGCUGAGGCACGAAGGUCAGGGGAGCAAACGGG